UUAGCUGAAACUUGCUGCUCUCUUACAUUUAUAUGAACAAAACCUGUCAAUUCAGACACAGCACAUUCCUGAAUUGGGCCCACUGAGAGUACUCUGGCAGAGUGAACAAUCUGUAUAACUUGAAAUGUGUUUGACAAACUUGUGAGGGGGCCCCCAGGAUAUCUUCUUCAGGGGAAGAGUUUGGAAUGUACCAGAUUGCAGGUACCUGAUGUGGAAGAUGGGUGUUUCAUGUUCUCCCUCCACAAAGGCUGUCAGCAGUGGCUGUUGCCACCCCCGAAAGUCUUUUUCUAGGGAGACUAUCCACCCAAUGACUCUGAAGAAUGAGGAGCCAUUGUGUUCAAGGAAGGAGGACAAAAAAUCAGCUCUUGAGGACAGCAAACCAAGAAGGAUGGCCCACGGAAUCUGAGGGGAAGGAGUGAAUGAGAGAGACAGGUUCCCCUGGGACAUAGGGCAUCUUCCUCUAUGCUGUCCUAAUGGAUGACUUCUUGCUGCUUUCCCUUGGAGUUUUGACUUCUUCAUCCCCUUACUGUCACAUUUUACUGCCUCCAAGUGAUUGUGCAGUGAUUGCUCUGGGUUUGUUCUCUGUGAAUGAACUCUCCAGGUUUUAGUUGUGUACCCCCAACAAACGAAAUCCUGCAGUAUUCACCAAGCUAAACUUAGCAGGUCCCUUCUCUUCUUCUGCACAGUUCUACAUUCCAUCCUUCAGUCCAUCCAAAUUUUGUCCAAGCCCACCUGUCCUAUCUCUUCAACUCCCCUAACCUAAUCUUUGAAUUAAAUCUAUCUCCCAUAUAUCUCUGGCUUUGUUCCAGUGGCUACUGUUACCUCCUUAUAUUUUUUCUCAGACCCAUCCAUCAAUAGCCCCCUACCAAAUACACCUUGGCUGGUAUUCUGUCAUAUUCAUUGUGGUAUCUCAGGACAUGUGACAGUAAUAUCUGAGGGAGCUGCUGCCUUCAAAUAGCAACAUGUUCAAUCACAUUAAUUUGUGGCAGCAUCUCACAGUCCAUGGUUGCAUAUUCAGAAAUUACAUUUACUAGCUGACUGAAUGCAUGCAGGAAGGGGAAAUUAUAGCCUUCUGCUCCAAAAAUCUUAGGCCUCUUCCAGCUGAGCUACAAGAGAAUCUCCAUUAGAUAUGAGCUGUAUGAAGACUUCAGUUAGGAACAAAAUUUCCACAAGAUCUAAGACCAUGCAAAACAUUGUCUGAUUUCAGAUGUUAUUAAAAAUGUUAAUCUCAAAUUAGAUUAAUAGAAAGGGUCGCAAACUGUGCACAUCACAUUACCAGAAAGAUAAUGACAAAUUAGAAGGGAGUACAGAGAACAUCAGUCAUAAACAACAGCAGGCUGGAGAGAAUGGUUUGAAGAAAAAUUAAAAGAGCUAGUUAUAUACUGCCUGAUUAAAGGGUGACUAAGGAAAUAUAUUACACUCUGGGUACCUGAAGUACUUAGAGAGCAGAAUUAUUUGGUUCCCACUGUACAUCUAGAAGUAAAUAGCUGAAUUUAAGAAAGGGAAAAUGUAGGAUGAAUAUCAAGAAUUACUUCUGAACAGUGAAAGAGCUAUUAGAAUGUCUAAAGGGACAUGGUGGAAACCCAUAAUUUAGGACUAGAGCUUGAAAGGUUGAGGUUGAGAUUGAAAAUGGUUUAAGAUUUUAUACAAAAAAAUUUUCAGGAACAUGUCAUAUCUUUUCCCCCCUUCAAAAUGUGAUGUUUCAGCCACAUUACAUUGAAAUUUUGAAUUGUUUUGCUCUGUUUUAUGUGGGACUUUGAAAAUUAGACCAGAUAAAAAAUUAGAAACUGUA